UAUAUUAUGUCACAAGGAAACUUGGAGCAUUAGUCCUAUAAGCAAGAACUACCUAUUAUGGGGAUAGAUACAAGUAUGAGGAUAAGAAAAAUAGCGUUUGCAUGAAAAUUGGAUUGUUUCCAGAGAUAAGAAAAAUAGCGUUUGGGUAGAUAAUAUGGAAUAAGAAAAAUAAUGGAUAGUUAUAUAUAGAAAAUAAAGGUGUUGGUGGAGAUAGUUAUACUAGCUUAUUUCAGGUAUCCGAGAAUUACUAUUUUUGGGUAAAAAAUUAACGUUUGGAUAUAAAGGGGGGAUAAGGGGUUAUUCCACCCCUUAUCCCCAAUCCAAACGGGUAACUUAGAUAUUCGCGAUAUAGCUAACUUUAAUUUCAAAAUAUUUCACUUCACAAGUAAAAAAAAAAAAAAAAAAAAAAU
rnacentral:lncRNA from 1 species